CCUCCAGUUACCUCCAGACGAGCCCCCUCUUCCGAUAUACCUAAAGCAGAAGUCCUCCUGUACAUUACAUGUAUCAAUUUACUUUCUAUUUGGCUGAAAUUUAUUGAUGGAGUGUGUCAACUGAUGAUAGUGUGAAAUUUAACAUUAUUAGUGUGAAUUCUUUCCAGUGUGGAUGGUAGCAUACAUAAAUAGCAUUCACUGCACUGUUAUAGCUCUGUCUGAACCGUGUCCUCCGACACCGCAUUUUAUUAACGCAUAUAACUCUUGCAGUUUCGCUAACCUCAGGGCAUUGGUACAUCAGUCUGAUCCUGCAGGAGUAAUUUAAAGUAAUUUACAGUCUUUCAUAAGUUUAUAUGGAUGGACAAAUAAUACAGAGUGGUACAGCUUUUCAUGAGUUCGGGACUGGUGUAACAGAAGGGUGUAAGUUUAUAACCCAGAUUGCAAACAAGAAUAAUCAUGUUGACAACUAAAAAGGGAGAUGAUCAUUGAUAUGGGAAGGGCAUAUAAAAAAAAACUGUGGGAAUCCUGCCGUUAGAACCGCUAGGUAUGAAGCCUAAAAAAUAUCAGCAGUGGAACUUUGGAUGCUUAUUGCACAAAUUAAAUAUCGG